rnacentral:rRNA from 1 species
GACGAACGCUGGCGGCGUGCUUAACACAUGCAAGUCGAACGAAGUGGCGAACGGGGGCGUAAUACGUGGGUAACCUGCCCUCCUUUUUGGGAUAAGCCUUGGAAACGGGGUCUAAUACCGCAUACUAUCGGAAGAACCCAUAUGGGAUUAGCGAGUAGGUGUGGUAAUGGCUCACCUAGGCGACGAUCCCUAGCUGGUCUGAGAGGGGGACCGGCCACAUUGGGACUGAGAUACGGCCCAGACUCCUACGGGAGGCAGAAGUGGGGGAUAUUGCACAAUGGGCGAAAGCCGGAUGCAGCGACGCCGCGUGGGGGAUGAAGGCUUUCGGGUUGUAAACCUCUUUCGUGAUCGAACGGGUAGGUGGAGAAGAUGCGCCGGCUAACUACGUGCCAGCAGCCGCGGUAAUAC